AUAAACUAUGGCCACUGGUCAGGGUGUCCUGUGUCGAACGAAGAGGUCUCUUCUUCGUUGGACCAAUCCUGGUGAAGCACUUAAGCUGUCUCGUCUUGAGGUGGAGCUCUGGGUUCUACUAUGAGCUCCUCACCUCAUCAGGUCUACAGAGGAAGCUACUCACAGCUGAUGAAAGAUCAAAGCUCCCUGUUCUUGAAAAUCUAAAAGUUCAGACUUGUUUUAAAUGGUUAGAGUUUCUUUAUUGGUUAUGUGUUUUUAAAACUGCAUAAGAAAGUCUUUGUUGUACUUGCACAUGCUUUGGGAUUGUACCUAUGUCAGGUCUUAAUGGGUCAGCAGUUCUUAACGGGUCAACGGCUUCUGGGCAGGUGAACCUCUCGGCUGGAUUCUGUGGAGAUGUUUGUCCUUCCCCUCUGGGGCAAGAUGCCAAGAUUCAGCAGCAUUUCCAGAGCCCAUCCAGAUGGUGGAGAAACGUAGAUGAGAGGUGCAGCAAAAGUGACACAUUUGUGUGGACAGACUGCGGAAGCUUGAUCCUUCUUAGCCAUGAGUGUGGACAGUUUUAGCAUGUGGUCGUCAGACUUUAGGGGUUUAUUUGCAGAACUUAAGCUAAAAGAUUAGACGCAUGUGUAAUGGAGCCAAAGAGCGGCGCGAGGACGUCCAGCAGGACUGUCGUGUCUGAGUUCAACCCUCCUGCUGAAAACCUUUCACUUUGGGAAACAGUUUGAUGUCCUGACCUGAACUCCAUCCAGCGACUCAGGUUGAGUGAUGCUCGAUCACUCCGGUGGCUUGAUGAUUCAAUCCAGAUUUGUGUUUUAUUUCGCCGCUGGCUCCUUGUUGUUCUCUCGCUGUUACAUGCUGCAUGAGAUAAGCCUCUUAGCGGAGCGAGAGAGCGCAACACUCAGAAACAUCCUCUCUUUUUCUGGACGUCAGGUUUGCUUUCACACAGGAACUAAUACCUGACUUAUAUCUAUCUCAAAUAUCUGUCUCUCUCAGAAGUAGUGGAGCAUCGUUAGUCUGGAUUUAGAAAAGCAGUAAUUGAAAACAUCCCACAGAUGGUGAGACAGAUGCGAGGAUUCAGCUGAGAUAACUACGUAUUCAGAGAUGGAGUUGUUGUUUCCAGUUAGUUUCACUAGUUAUGGCUUUGAGUGGCUGAGGCGAGUUUUAUAAACACCCGUUUGGUCGGUUCACCACUAUGACUCAGGCUGAAACAACUGGAUUUAAUGCCCAUGGCAGACCUUCAUGCCAUUGUUGCUCUGUUAACAUGUAAAACGUAAAAGUACGACACGAUUUCCACAUUUCACUUCAUAGGAAAGUUUUUUGGUUGUGACUGAACAAAACCAAAACCUCAAAACAGAACACUGCAUUUCCUGUGAUGCCCACUAGAGGCUGGCUCACAGACUCGCUUGUUAAAAUGUCUUUGCAACACAAAUAAACAUGAAUUUUGGCCUUUGUG